AUUAUGCAGUUCUGAUGCUGGGGCGUGGAAAACAUUGCCGUGUUUCUGGCAUGAUUCACAUUUUUUCGAGAAAGACAGGCAAUCCUGUUCUAAUGUAGGCCAAAAGAAUCCGGCCCUCAGAACGCGUGCCUUCAGUGCACGUCCUCCUGUGUGCCUACCGCAUAUGCCCUGAUGUAAUUCAAGCAAGACAUAACCUGCUUCUUCCGUAGAUAAGCAUUUCAUGAUCGGGGUAACGUAUCCCCUUCGGUAUAAAUCGUCCCCGAUCAAACAAUAUCGGGAUAUUUUCUUUAUUUC
rnacentral:lncRNA from 1 species